rnacentral:rRNA from 1 species
AUUGAACGCUGGCGGCAGGCCUAACACAUGCCAGUCGAACGGUAACAGGAAGAAGCUUGCUUCUUUGCUGACGAGUGGCGGACGGGUGAGUAAUGUCUGGGAAACUGCCUGAUGGAGGGGGAUAACUACUGGAAACGGUAGCUAAUACCGCAUAACGUCGCAAGACCAAAGAGGGGGACCUUCGGGCCUCUUGCCAUCGGAUGUGCCCAGAUGGGAUUAGCUAGUAGGUGGGGUAACGGCUCACCUAGGCGACGAUCCCUAGCUGGUCUGAGAGGAUGACCAGCCACAAUGGAACUGAGACACGGUCCAGACUCCUACGGGAGGCAGCAGUGGGGAAUAUUGCACAAUGGGCGCAAGCCUGAUGCAGCCAUGCCGCGUGUAUGAAGAAGGCCUUCGGGUUGUAAAGUACUUUCAGCGGGGAGGAAGGGAGUAAAGUUAAUACCUUUACUCAUUGACGUUACCCGCAGAAGAAGCACCGGCUAACUCCGUG